GACGAACGCUGGCGGCGUGCUUAACACAUGCAAGUCGAGCGGAGCGGCGAACGGGUGAGUAACGCGUGAGUAACUGCCCCCCUCUCUGGGAUAACAGUUGGAAACGGCUGCUAAUACCGGAUAGUGGGGGAUGACUCGCGUCCUAUCAGCUUGUUGGUGGGGUAGUGGCCUACCAAGGCGACGACGGGUAGCCGGCCUGAGAGGGCGACCGGCCACAUUGGGCUGAGAUACGGCCCAAACUCCUACGGGAGGCAGCAGUGGGGAAUAUUGCACAAUGGGGGAAACCCUGAUGCAGCAACGCCGCGUGCGGGAUGACGGCCUUCGGGUUGUAAAGCUCUGUUAAUCGGGACGGCGAAUAGUGCGAGGAUUUGACGGUACCGGAAUAGAAAGCCACGGCUAACUACGUGCCAGCAGCCGCGGUAAUUC
rnacentral:rRNA from 1 species